GCGGGAAUAGUUCAGCGGUAGAGCGCGACCUUGCCAAGGUCGAAGUCGCGAGUUCGAAUCUCGUUUCCCGCUCCA
rnacentral:tRNA from 10 species